rnacentral:rRNA from 1 species
UUCGGGGUUAGUGGCGGACGGGUGAGUAACACGUGGGAACGUGCGUUUAGGUGCGGAAUAGCUCCUGGAAACGGGUGGUAAUGCCGAAUGUGCCCUUCGGGGGAAAGAUUUAUCGCCUUUAGAGCGGCCCGCGUCUGAUUAGCUAGUUGGUAGUGUAAUGGACUACCAAGGCUACGAUCAGUAGCUGGUCUGAGAGGAUGAUCAGCCACAUUGGGACUGAGACACGGCCCAAACUCCUACGGGAGGCAGCAGUGGGGAAUCUUGCGCAAUGGGCGAAAGCCUGACGCAGCCAUGCCGCGUGAAUGAUGAAGGUCUUAGGAUUGUAAAAUUCUUUCACCGGGGACGAUAAUGACGGUACCCGGAGAAGAAGCCCCGGCUAACUUCGUGCCAGCAGCCGCGGUAAUACGAAGGGGGCUAGCGUUGCUCGGAAUUACUGGGCGUAAAGGGAGCGUAGGCGGACAUUUAAGUCAGGGGUGAAAUCCCGGGGCUCAACCUCGGAAUUGCCUUUGAUACUGGGUGUCUUGAGUGUGAGAGAGGUAUGUGGAACUCCGAGUGUAGAGGUGAAAUUCGUAGAUAUUCGGAAGAACAUCAGUGGCGAAGGCGACAUACUGGCUCAUUACUGACGCUGAGGCUCGAAAGCGUGGGGAGCAAACAGGAUUAGAUACCCUGGUAGAAUCACUAGUGAAUUC